rnacentral:rRNA from 1 species
UGCCUACGGGAGGCAGCAGUGGGGAAUAUUGCACAAUGGGGGAAACCCUGAUGCAGCAACGCCGCGUGAGUGAGGAAGUAUUUCGGUAUGUAAAGCUCUAUCAGCAGGGAAUAGAAAAGAAGGUACCUGAAAAAGAAGCCCCGGCUAACUACGUGCCAGCAGCCGCGGUAAUACGUAGGGAGCGAGCGUUGUCCGGAAUUACUGGGUGUAAAGGGAGCGUAGGCGGGACUGCAAGUUUGG